UUCUUUUUUUAUUUCUUUUUUUUUUUUUUAUUUUAUUUUAUUCCCUUCCAUCAUUCCUUAAGUUCCAUAGGGUUGAUCCUAUAGAAUCUGAUCCAUUUUCUCGUUGAGCGAAGGGUACGAAAUAGAUCGGAUUGAUUUUUCGAUCAAAAGUACUAUGUGAAAUCUUCGGUUUUUUCCUCUUUCUCUAUCCUUAUCCCAUAGGUACAGCAUUUGAAUCAAUAGAGAACUUUUUCUUCUGUAUCUAUAUGAAUCGAUAUUAUUCCAUUCCAAUUCCUUCCCGAUACCUCCCAAGGAAAAUCCCGAAUUGGAUCCAAAUUGACGGGUUAGUGUGAGCUUAUCCAUGCGGUUAUGCACUCUUCGAAUGGGAAUCCUUUUUCUGAAAGAUCCUGGCUUUCGUGCUUUGGUGGGUCUCCGAGAUCCUUUCGACGACCUAUGUUUGUGUUGAAGGGAUAUCUAUAUGAUCCGAUCGAUUGUGUAAAGCCCGCGGUAGCAACGGAACCGGGGAAAGUAUACAUAAGUAUACAGAAAAGACAGUUCUUUUCUAUUAUAUUAGUAUUUUCUAUUCUAUUAGUAUUAGAUUAGUAUUAGUUAGCGAUCCCG
rnacentral:lncRNA from 1 species